AAGUCGAACGGUAACAGGAAGAAGCUUGCUUCUUUGCUGACGAGUGGCGGACGGGUGAGUAAUGUCUGGGAAACUGCCUGAUGGAGGGGGAUAACUACUGGAAACGGUAGCUAAUACCGCAUAACGUCGCAAGACCAAAGAGGGGGACCUUCGGGCCUCUUGCCAUCGGAUGUGCCCAGAUGGGAUUAGCUAGUAGGUGGGGUAACGGCUCACCUAGGCGACGAUCCCUAGCUGGUCUGAGAGGAUGACCAGCCACACUGGAACUGAGACACGGUCCAGACUCCUACGGGAGGCAGCAGUGGGGAAUAUUGCACAAUGGGCGCAAGCCUGAUGCAGCCAUGCCGCGUGUAUGAAGAAGGCCUUCGGGUUGUAAAGUACUUUCAGCGGGGAGGAAGGGAGUAAAGUUAAUACCUUUGCUCAUUGACGUUACCCGCAGAAGAAGCACCGGCUAACUCCGUGCCAGCAGCCGCGGUAAUACGGAGGGUGCAAGCGUUAAUCGGAAUUACUGGGCGUAAAGCGCACGCAGGCGGUUUGUUAAGUCAGAUGUGAAAUCCCCGGGCUCAACCUGGGAACUGCAUCUGAUACUGGCAAGCUUGAGUCUCGUAGAGGGGGGUAGAAUUCCAGGUGUAGCGGUGAAAUGCGUAGAGAUCUGGAGGAAUACCGGUGGCGAAGGCGGCCCCCUGGACGAAGACUGACGCUCAGGUGCGAAAGCGUGGGGGAGCAAACAGG
rnacentral:rRNA from 1 species